UAAUACGAAGGGAGCUAGCGUUACUCGGAAUUAUUGGGUGUAAAGCGUGCGUAGGCGGUCUUGUAAGUUAGGAGUGAAAGCCCAGGGCUCAACCUUGGAAUUGCUUCUAAUACUGCAUGACUAGAGUAUCAGAGGGGAUGGCGGAAUUCCUAGUGUAGAAGUGAAAUUCGUAGAUAUUAGGAGGAACACCGGAGGCGAAGGCGGCCAUCUGGCUGAAUACUGACGCUGUUGCACGAAAGCGUGGGGAGCAAACAGG
rnacentral:rRNA from 1 species